rnacentral:rRNA from 1 species
UACGUAGGGGGCAAGCGUUGUCCGGAUUUAUUGGGCGUAAAGAGCUCGUAGGCGGUUCCGUAAGUCGAGUGUGAAAAAUCUGGGCUCAACCCAGUGGAGCACUCGAUACUGCGGUGACUAGAGUACGGUAGAGGAGUGUGGAAUUCCUGGUGUAGCGGUGAAAUGCGCAGAUAUCAGGAGGAACACCAACGGCGAAGGCAGCACUCUGGGCCGGUACUGACGCUGAGACGCGAAAGCGUGGGGAGCGAACAGG